rnacentral:rRNA from 1 species
UAGUCCACGCCGUAAACGAUGAUUACUAGGUGUAGGAGGUAUCGACCCCUUCUGUGCCGCAGCUAACGCAAUAAGUAAUCCGCCUGGGGAGUACGACCGCAAGGUUGAAACUCAAAGGAAUUGACGGGUCCCCGCACAAGCAGCGGAGCAUGUUGUUUAAUUCGAAGCAACGCGAAGAACCUUACCAGGGCUUGACAUCUACUGAAUUCUUUAGAGAUAGAGAAGUGCCUUUUUGGAACAGUAAGACAGGUGGUGCAUGGUUGUCGUCAGCUCGUGUCGUGAGAUGUUGGGUUAAAGUCCCGCAACGAGCGCAACCCUUAUCUUUAGUUACCAGCAUGUAAUGGUGGGGACUCUAGAGAGACUGCCGGGGAUAACGUCGGGAGGAAGGGUGGGGACGACGUCAGAUCAUCAUGCUCCUUAUGUCCUGGGGCUACAAACGUGCUACAAUGGGGCNCUACAAAGGGGCAGCUAUACCGCAAGGGUAAUGACGAAACCGGAAAAAGGGCGUUA